UAGCAAGCUUGAAAAUAUUUAGGCAUUCUAAGUUACAUGCAUUAGACCCGAAGCCAAGUGAUCUAUUCUUAAACAAGUUGAAGAUGUUUUAAAAUGCAUUGGAGGGCUGAACCCACGUCUGUUGAAAAAUACGGGGACGAUUUAAGAAUAGGGGUGAAAGUCCAAUCAAACUUGGUGAUAGCUGGUUUUCCGCGAAAACUAUCAAAGUAGUACGUUGCUUUUCAAAAAUGUGGGUAGAGCUACUUAUUAAACUUAGAUUUUGCUAAGUUUUAUUAAACUCCAAAUUAUAUUUUUAUUUAGCAGCAGACAGUCAUUAGGCGAUAAGGUUCAAUGUCAAAAGGGAAACAACCCUAAUCGAUGGUUAAGAUCUUAAAAUUAUGAAUUAGUGAAAAAAUGAAAAGUAAUUCGAAUAAACAGAGUAGGCUUAGAAGCAGCCAUCUAUUGGAGAAAGCGUUUUAGCUCAUUAUUUUUACUUAUUUUACUCAUUUAAAAUGUAAGGAGACUUAAAUUCAUAUAUCGAAGCUUCGAAUUAAGUUUAAUUUUUCUUAAUGGUAGCGGAACGUCCUGUAGUCUUUUCUGUUAAUGUUAAAUUGCAUAUUAAAAAUCAGGAGUGCUAAUGCUGACAUGAGUAGCGUCAACCAUGUUGAAAAUAAAUCAUGGUCGUCUAUUGCUCAAGGGUUUCCAGUAAAUUUUAAGUAACUGGGUUUAGUCGGCCCUUAAAAAAAAAGUGAAAACUGUACUUGAUAGGAAAAUUAUUCCGCAUGUUUGCAAAAUAUUUUUGUGUAAAAAAGUACUUUUAAAAGUUUUGCUUAAUAAACUAGCAACUUAAAAAAAGUAUUUUUCAGGAAAAUUUGCAUGAAGUUUGACCGUACUUAGAACCGACACAGGUGAGCUUAUUGAGAAGAUAAAGACGAAUGAGAUAAUUAUACUUAAGGAACUCGGCAAAUUUGCUCCGUACGUUCGCAACAAGGAGUACCUUAAAGGAUUCAAAAAUUAGGGGUAGCGACUGUUUAACAAAAACUCAAAACUUUGCAAAUUCGAAAGAAGACGUAUAAGGUUUGACGCCUGCCCAGUGCUUGAAAGCGAAAAAUACACGUUAACGCUUGUAUCAUAAACUCAAGUAAACGGCGGUCUUAACUAUAAGGAUCCUCAGGUAGCGAAAUUCCUUGGCGGGUAAAUUCCGUCCUGCAUGAAUGGCGUCACGACUACCCCACUGUCUCUAGUAUAAACUCAGCGAAAUUACAUUGUCUGUGAAAAUGCAGACAUCCUACAACAAGACGGAAAGACCCUAUGAUUCUUAACUAUAAUUUUACGUCGCAAUAAUUUUGUGUACAGUACAGUAAAAGUAGGAGUAUACUUAUACAAUUUUGAAAAACUACUCUGUACAUAAGAAAUUGCUUACUGAAGAGAAAAUAUGUAAAAGUGGUAGUUUACUUGGGACGAGGACCUCCUAAACUGUAACGGAGGUGCACAAAAGUAAAUUUUAAUUAGUUUUUUGUAUUAAUAAAAUAUGUAAUGGUAAAAAUUUGCUUGACGGUAAGAGUUACAACUCAAACCGGGACGAAAGUCGGUCAUAAUGAUCCGGCAGUAAUGUAUGGAAAUACUGUCGCUUAUCGGAAAAAAGAAACUCUAGGGAUAACAGAUUUAUCAUGGCUGAGAGUUCUUAUCGACGCCAUGGUUUGAUACCUCGAUGUCGGCUCAUCUUUUCCUGGAGCUGUAACAGGUUCCAAGGGUAUGGUUGUUCGCCAAAUAAUAAGAUACGUGAGCUGGGUUCAGAACGUCGUGAGACAGUUCGGUCCCUAUCUGUUGUGGGUAAGAAAAAACUCGUAAAUAGCUAAUCUCCACUUUAGGGAUUAAACUAAUAUUACAGGUAGGAAGCUAGUUCAUACAGAUCUAGUGGGCCUAUGCAUUACUCCUAAUGCUGAUCAAUGAGCUGUGUUACAAGCAGUGAACCCUAUGCAACGUGAAAAUAGUCAUUCACGGAGUAUAAGCAGGGCAUAAAUUUAAGUGGAUGUUACUUAUAAACAUUUUAACUCGAAGAGAAUAUAUAAAUCAGUAAAUCUGUCAAGAAAAGCAG
rnacentral:rRNA from 1 species